CCAGAUGGAAUUGAAACUAAGGCCAAGUGUUGUCAUAGUUUGUAUCGCCGUGAUUUUGAUAGGAGGAGCAUCCGCUGAUGUCUGCACAAAGCAAUGUAUUAAAACUGCCUUUGGAUGUUCUCUUAGAUGUAAAUCCAAUACUUAUAAGUAUGAUGAUUACAGGAGAUGUGCGGUUUACUGUCGGGUGAAAUGUUUUGAGUGUGGACUAGAAUGCAGCGACUCUACCUACUCGUGCAAAGAUUACUUUAAUCUUAUUUGAAACAAGACUUUAUAUUGUUUAGAAUUAUUUCUUUGAUACAUUUGUGUAUCUGGUGUCUUGACUAUACUAGUUUUAUCAAGCUUAGCUACAUAGGUGC
rnacentral:lncRNA from 1 species